rnacentral:rRNA from 1 species
CGCGGCCUAUCAGCUUGUUGGUGAGGUAAUGGCUCACCAAGGCGACGACGGGUAGCCGGCCUGAGAGGGCGACCGGCCACACUGGAACUGAGAUACGGUCCAGACUCCUACGGGAGGCAGCAGUAGGGAAUAUUGCACAAUGGGCGAAAGCCUGAUGCAGCGACGCCGCGUGGGGGAUGAAUGCCUUCGGGUUGUAAACCCCUUUCAGCAGGGAAGAAGCGAAAGUGACGGUACCUGCAGAAGAAGCGCCGGCUAACUACGUGCCAGCAGCCGCGGUAAUACGUAGGGCGCAAGCGUUGUCCGGAAUUAUUGGGCGUAAAGAGCUCGUAGGCGGUUUGUCACGUCUGCUGUGAAAUCCCGAGGCUCAACCUCGGGACUGCAGUGGGUACGGGCAGACUAGAGUGUGGUAGGGGAGACUGGAAUUCCUGGUGUAGCGGUGGAAUGCGCAGAUAUCAGGAGGAACACCAAUGGCGAAGGCAGGUCUCUGGGCCACAACUGACGCUGAGGAGCGAAAGCAUGGGUAGCGAACAGGAUUAGAUACCCUGGUAGUCCAUGCCGUAAACGGUGGGCACUAGAUGUGGGGCUCUUUCCAUGAGUUCCGCGUCGCAGCUAACGCAUUAAGUGCCCCGCCUGGGGAGUACGG